rnacentral:rRNA from 1 species
UACGGAGGGGGCUAGCGUUGUUCGGAAUUACUGGGCGUAAAGCGCACGUAGGCGGCGACUCAAGUCAGAGGUGAAAGCCCGGGGCUCAACCCCGGAACUGCCUUUGAAACUAGGUUGCUAGAAUCUUGGAGAGGUCAGUGGAAAUUCCGAGUGUAGAGGUGAAAUUCGUAGAUAUUCGGAAGAACACCAGUGGCGAAGGCGACUGACUGGACAAGUAUUGACGCUGAGGUGCGAAAGCGUGGGGAGCAAACAGG